AUGGAGCCUCACAGAAUAUCGGAAAUCCAUCAAAAAUUAAUGUCGAUGCAAUACCCAUUGUUGUUUUCAUACGGAGAAGACGACUUCAAGCUAGAAAUACCUUACAAGCGAACAAAAGAAGGUGACAAAAGCAGGAAAUAUGUAACUAUGCUGGACUACUACGCAUACUACCUACAUCAAAGACCCGACCAAGGAAUGUCGUUGCUAACGUCUAGACAUCUAUCUCUGCAAUUUUGGGUAGAUGUUUACACAUGCAUUGAGCAAAACAGACUAAAUUGGAUCAGGAAUAAUCAAGGGAAGCUACGGACUGAACUUUACAAUGGACUGCAGGACGCGAUUGAGCGAGGGGACACCAGAACAGAGCAGGUUGGAAAGAGGAUAAUUGUACCUUCAUCUUAUACAGGAGGCAGAAGAAACAAGGCACAGAACUUGCAAGACGCUUUUGCAAUAUGCUGUUGGGCUAGAUAUCCAGACCUGAACAUUCACAUGCAACGCGAAGUGGCCCGAGAUCCAAUACAUGCUAGAUGA
rnacentral:rRNA from 1 species